ACAGUUAAAGAUGACUGCCCGAAGACAGCAGGUGCCUGAGUGCGUAAGUUGUAAACGCCUGCCGAGGAAAGCAUUCGAUAUGGAAUGACUUGUGAUCCCUCUGUGUCUGCGGCACAGAGGGAUUUUUUUGCCGGAA
rfam:Lachnoclostridium sp. An196 An196_contig_3, whole genome shotgun sequence.